CUUUUUAGUUAGCGGUUUUUAAAAGAUGACCGCGCUAAUGUGCUCGCGCGUUGGCCUUUCAGUUCCAUUUGUUGGGUUCUCGGGGAGGGGAGAGAAAAGCCUGGCCGUGGCAUUGAGGUUUUGAAGCGACAGGGGGGGUGUGAAGGACAAAAUGGCGAUGGCGGGCCGCGCUGACGGGCCUCUCUGUGAUGAGAAUCUUUUUCACAGACCUGUUCUGAGCUCCGUGAGGAUAAGUAACUCUGAGGAGACCGGCCCUGCACUGCCGUUGCGGUCCUAGCUCCGGAAAACAAUGAGAUUACGAACUAGCCUAGUGCUAACUUCAUGUCUUAUUGUCUGCAGGGUCCUGGCGCGCGUUGAACGCUAAAGGCUCGUAGAGAGCUCUCGUUCCAAUGUGGUUUAAUUCAAAAGAGCUUACAGCUUGGAGGAUGGGAUCAAGCAUUAUGGUGGUGCCCCAGCAUCUCGUCACCAAUCCGAAGGAAUUCAGCUGCCUCCCAGGGUGAAUGCCGCUUGUUCCUCUUGGAGUGAUUUUCCUGGGGAGGGAGAUGGCAACCCAGCAAGCAGCACAGGUGGUUCUUGUGAUGGUGUGCUCUUCCCUCACCCACAUGUCACUGUCAGAUGAUUUGAAUUGAUAUUGCUGAUCCUCUGUGAGGUUGUGCUGGUGGUGAUGUAUUCGUCUAUCUUACAAAGCCUCUUGAUCUGCUCAGGGUCAAACUCCUGGAAAGAGUUGAGAGUGGAGCAGCUUGUUCCUGUAUACCCUGGAAGGCUUCCAGAGUUAAAAGGUACCAUUGCCAGUUACUUGCUUGUUUGCUCAAAGGUCUAGCUCGUUGUCUGGAGCCUGAGAAUGAGGAGAAAGGAGUAAGCCAUAUUCCUGCUCAUCUCCCUCUGAAGUCAAGAGGGCUGAAGAAGUAACAGAGCACACAUGAUGGAAUCCAACUCUUGGAGGAUAUCAAGAAUGGCAUUUUCUUAUACAACCUACCUAUUCAAAUUAGCAUACAAUUAUUUCAGGCUUUCUAAAUAAAAGUUCUGUUUUCUUAAAUCUUCA